rnacentral:piRNA from 1 species
UAGCACAUGCCAUGUGGGAUAGUUGGU